rnacentral:sRNA from 1 species
AUUCUGCCCAUGCGGGGAAGGAUGAGAAGCUUCGACCAAGGCUCGACUCGAGCGCCAGCGAGAGAGCGUUGCCGCAGGCAACGACCCGAAGGGUGAAGCGCGCAGCGCUAGUAAUCCUUCCCCCACCACCA